AAUAGAUACCCUGGUAGUCCACGCCGUAAACGAUGUCGACUUGGAGGUUGUUCCCUUGAGGAGUGGCUUCCGGAGCUAACGCGUUAAGUCGACCGCCUGGGGAGUACGGCCGCAAGGUUAAAACUCAAAUGAAUUGACGGGGGCCCGCACAAGCGGUGGAGCAUGUGGUUUAAUUCGAUGCAACGCGAAGAACCUUACCUACUCUUGACAUCCAGAGAACUUAGCAGAGAUGCUUUGGUGCCUUCGGGAACUCUGAGACAGGUGCUGCAUGGCUGUCGUCAGCUCGUGUUGUGAAAUGUUGGGUUAAGUCCCGCAACGAGCGCAACCCUUAUCCUUUGUUGCCAGCGGUUCGGCCGGGAACUCAAAGGAGACUGCCAGUGAUAAACUGGAGGAAGGUGGGGAUGACGUCAAGUCAUCAUGGCCCUUACGAGUAGGGCUACACACGUGCUACAAAUGGCGUAUACAAAGAGAAGCGACCUCGCGAGAGCAAGCGGACCUCAUAAAGUACGUCGUAGUCCGGAUUGGAGUCUGC
rnacentral:rRNA from 1 species